rnacentral:rRNA from 1 species
GACGAACGCUGGCGGCGUGCUUAACACAUGCAAGUCGAACGGAAAGGCCCUGCUUUUGUGGGGUGCUCGAGUGGCGAGCGGGUGAGUAACACGUGAGUAACCUGCCCUUGACUUUGGGAUAACUUCAGGAAACUGGGGCUAAUACCGGAUAGGAGCGCCUGCUGCAUGGUGGGGGUUGGAAAGUUUCGGCGGUUGGGGAUGGACUCGCGGCUUAUCAGCUUGUUGGUGGGGUAGUGGCUUACCAAGGCUUUGACGGGUAGCCGGCCUGAGAGGGUGACCGGCCACAAUGGGACUGAGAUACGGCCCAGUCUCCUACGGUAGGCAGCAGUGGGGAAUAUUGCACAAUGGGCGGAAGCCUGAUGCAGCAACGCCGCGUGCGGGAUGACGGCCUUCGGGUUGUAAACCGCUUUCGCCUGUGACGAAGCGUUAGUGACGGUAAUGGGUAAAGAAGCACCGGCUAACUACGUG